UUAAUUUACAUCUACACCGCCGGGGGAUUACGAGCAAUGCUUAAAACCCAAAGGAUUUGACGGUGUCCCACCCCACUAGAGGAGCCUGUUCUAUAAUCGAUGAUCCCCGCUUCACCUAACCAUUCCUCGCCUAUCAGUCUGUAUACCUCCGUCGAAAGCUUACCAUGUGAACGCCUGCCGUAAGCCUAAUGAUUCAUCAUCAACACGUCAGGUCAAGGUGCAGCUCAAGGAAUGGAAAGUAAUGGGCUACAAUUUCUAACUUAGAACAAACGAAAGACUGUGUGAAACCCUAGUCAUGAAGGUGGAUUUAGUAGUAAAAAGAAAAUAGAGUGUUCUUUUUAACCCGGCUCUGGGACGCGUACACACCGCCCGUCACCCUCUUCAAUAGUACUACAUCUGUUCCUAACCCAACACUACGUUUUAGAAGAGGCAAGUCGUAACAUGGUAAGUGUACUGGAAAGUGCACUUGGUAUAA
rnacentral:rRNA from 1 species